rnacentral:lncRNA from 1 species
UGCGUACUAUACAUAACUGCGUACUAUACACGGUCGAAUAUGGUAGUAAAUCAUCUAUUUAUGAUCAAACUUAAACUGCGUUACAGACAUGAUACAUGGAUAUGCAUGUAUAGCUCUCUUAAUUUAAAAUUUAAACGAAGCAUUUCGGAAAUAUGACGCCUCCAACUAGGAAGAAAGUUUGCUUCGUCAAUUUUGUUCUUUGUAUAACAUGUGUUGUAAGGACUUUUAAGUGUGGUCAUCUGAUGCAAGUAAAAAACAGUCACAUGAAUUUUAUUUGGAAAUAUCUUAAAAAAUUAUCAUAUUAAAUUAUUUAAACAAUAAUACAAAUACAUAUACAUCAAAAUACCAAGUAAAACGAUUCAAUAUGUGAAUAAGUAGCAUAGACAUUUUAUUAUAGUUUAUACAAGUAUCUUAUAUUUCAAUUUUAUAAAAACUGUUUGGAAAAUGCUCAUUCAUUCGAAGAAAUUACCCUCUCCCUUUAUUUUUACAAUAACCUCGACCCUAUUAUAAUAGAUAUUGAAGUCAUUUGACGUUGAUAAGUUUCCUUAAAUCUAGAACGAAGAAUGUGUUCUAACCUUGAACUCUUUGUGCAAUAUUGCAAUGGUUUGACGUAAAACUGUAACAGAAUGCACGCUGAGUAAAUAUAGACCUUGGAAUUGUUAACAUUGACUCUUGGACUUUGAGUAGUUAUCAUAUUAUAUGAGAUAUAGGUAUACUUUGAGCUAAAGAUAAAAGUUGACACAAUAAUUCUAAUCAUAAAUGAUGAUUGAAUGAUAAACUGGAGUUUGACCACACAUUAUUUUAUACGUUAAUAAU